rnacentral:ncRNA from 1 species
UCUCGAUAAAGGCAAACCUGAUGAAAAUCAGCGACGCAAAGCUAUAGGGGCUACGGAGACAUGUUGCCACGCAUGAAUCUACGCCAGCCAGUUACCGAA